rnacentral:rRNA from 1 species
CGGCCGCGUCGACGGGGCCCGCACAAGCGGUGGAGGCAUGUGGGUUUAAUUCGAUGCAACGCGAAGAACCUUACCUGGUCUUGACAUAUCUAGAAUCCUGCAGAGAUGCGGGAGUGCCUUCGGGAAUUAGAAUACAGGUGCUGCAUGGUCGUCGUCAGCUCGUGUCGUGAGAUGUUGGGUUAAGUCCCGCAACGAGCGCAACCCUCGUGUUUAGUUGCCAUCAUUAAGUUGGGCACUCUAAACAGACUGCCGGUGACAAACCGGAGGAAGGUGGGGAUGACGUCAAGUCAGCAUGCCCCUUACGUCCUGGGCUACACACGUACUACAAUGGUAGGGACAGAGGGCAGCCAACCCGCGAGGGCGAGCUAAUCCCGUAAACCCUGCCUCAGUUCAGAUUGCAGGCUGCAACUCGCCUGCAUGAAGGCGGAAUCGCUAGUAAUCGCAGGUCAGCAUACUGCGGUGAACUCCGUUCCCGGGUCGACGCGGCCG